GCAGGAUCGGGGACUUGCUUAGGAUCCACUGGAAUGUGGGAGAGAGCCAGGUAGGGACGCAAGCGCUCUUGGCAGGGACAGGUAGCAGGCUGGUCAUGGGGAAGCACUGAACGGGGGGGUUCGGGUGGCAGCAAGACGGCUGGGAAACGGGUGCGCGCGAAUGGGGAGGUAGCCGAGGCAGGCAGGGCCCCUACCUGGCUGCAAGUUCUACAGCUUGCCGCGCUGAUGCGUCUUGCUUCAACCAAACGUUGGUCAAUUUCUCAUAGCGCUGCAGGAUAGACCCGUAAGUUUGCAUGUUAACUGCUGGUUCCUGAGGCGGACAUUCGCAGGCGCGUCGCGAACUUGCAUACCGAUUCAGAAUAGUUGGCGCCGGAGCGCACGGGACUAGCCGUUGAUUCCAAGCGAAAUAUUACGUGCACGUUUGGUUUGCCGUUGGC
rnacentral:lncRNA from 1 species